UACCUGCAGCUCGAGUGGUAACCGCUAUUAUUGGGCCUAAAGCGUCCGUAGCCGGUUUGGUAAAUAUCUGGGUAAAUCGUGAGGCUUAACUUCACGAAUUUCGGAUAGACUGCAGACUUGGGAUCGGGGGAGGUCAGAGGUACUCCAGGGGUAGCGGUGAAAUGUUGUAAUCCUUGGAGGACCACCGGUAGCGAAGGCGCCUGACUAGAACGAGUCCGACGGUGAGGGACGAAGCCCUGGGGCGCAAACCGGAUUAGAUACCCGGGUAGUCCAGGGUGUAAACAAUGUGGGCUUUGUAUUGGAGGUUCCACGUGGGCGUCCAGUGCAGAGGAGAAGUUGUUAAGCCCACCGCCUGGGAAGUACGGUCGCAAGGCUGAAACUUAAAGGAAUUGGCGGGGGAGCACAGCAACGGGAGGAGCGUGCGAUUU
rnacentral:rRNA from 1 species